rnacentral:tRNA from 1 species
GGUAAGAUGACAGAGUGGUUAUGUAGUGCACUGCAAAUGCAUUUUAUAUCGGUUCAAAUCCGGUUCUUACUU